AUACCUGGGAAUUUCCGCGGAUCGCUCAUAGCGUAUAUUAAAGUUGUUGCAGUUAAAAAGCUCGUAGUUGAACCUUGGGCCUGGAUGGGCGGUCCGCCUCACCGCGUGUACUGGUCCGGCCGGGCCUUUCCCUCGGUGAAACCCCGUGUCCUUCUCUGGGUGUGGCGGGCAUUCCUGUAUUUUACUGUGAAAGAUUUAAACUGGCAAAAGCAGGCACUCAAUGCACUG
rnacentral:rRNA from 1 species